rnacentral:rRNA from 1 species
GCAAGAUAGAGUUUGAUCCUGGCUCAGAUUGAACGCUGGCGGCAGGCCUAACACAUGCAAGUCGAGCGGCAGCGGGAAGAAGCUUGCUUCUUUGCCGGCGAGCGGCGGACGGGUGAGUAAUGUCUGGGGAUCUGCCCGAUGGAGGGGGAUAACUACUGGAAACGGUAGCUAAUACCGCAUAACGUCGCAAGACCAAAGUGGGGGACCUUCGGGCCUCACACCAUCGGAUGAACCCAGAUGGGAUUAGCUAGUAGGUGGGGUAAUGGCUCACCUAGGCGACGAUCCCUAGCUGGUCUGAGAGGAUGACCAGCCACACUGGAACUGAGACACGGUCCAGACUCCUACGGGAGGCAGCAGUGGGGAAUAUUGCACAAUGGGGGAAACCCUGAUGCAGCCAUGCCGCGUGUGUGAAGAAGGCCUUCGGGUUGUAAAGCACUUUCAGCGGGGAGGAAGGCGAUGGCGUUAAUAGCGCCAUCGAUUGACGUUACCCGCAGAAGAAGCACCGGCUAACUCCGUGCCAGCAGCCGCGGUAAUACGGAGGGUGCGAGCGUUAAUCGGAAUUACUGGGCGUAAAGCGUACGCAGGCGGUCUGUUAAGUCAGAUGUGAAAUCCCCGGGCUCAACCUGGGAACUGCAUUUGAAACUGGCAGGCUAGAGUCUCGUAGAGGGGGGUAGAAUUCCAGGUGUAGCGGUGAAAUGCGUAGAGAUCUGGAGGAAUACCGGUGGCGAAGGCGGCCCCCUGGACGAAGACUGACGCUCAGGUACGAAAGCGUGGGGAGCAAACAGGAUUAGAUACCCUGGUAGUCCACGCUGUAAACGAUGUCGAUUUGAAGGUUGUGGCCUUGAGCCGUGGCUUUCGGAGCUAACGCGUUAAAUCGACCGCCUGGGGAGUACGGCCGCAAGGUUAAAACUCAAAUGAAUUGACGGGGGCCCGCACAAGCGGUGGAGCAUGUGGUUUAAUUCGAUGCAACGCGAAGAACCUUACCUACUCUUGACAUCAGAGAACUUGGCAGAGAUGCCUUGGUGCCUUCGGGARCUYUGAAACAGUGCUGCAUGGCUGUCGUCAGCU